rnacentral:rRNA from 1 species
AACGCUAGCUACAGGCUUAACACAUGCAAGUCGAGGGGGAACGGCAUCGAGUGCUUGCACUUGAUGGACGUCGACCGGCGCACGGGUGAGUAACGCGUAUCCAACCUGCCCAUCACUCGGGAAUAACCUCUCGAAAGAGAGCCUAAUGCCCGAUGCAUUCCAUAGAGGACAUCUGAAGUGGAAUAAAGAUUCAUCGGUGACGGAUGGGGAUGCGUCUGAUUAGCUUGUUGGCGGGGUAACGGCCCACCAAGGCGACGAUCAGUAGGGGUUCUGAGAGGAAGGUCCCCCACAUUGGAACUGAGACACGGUCCAAACUCCUACGGGAGGCAGCAGUGAGGAGUAUUGGUCAAUGGGCGAGAGCCUGAACCAGCCAAGUAGCGUGCAGGAAGACGGCCCUAUGGGUUGUAAACUGCUUUUGUGCGGGGAUAAAGUGUGCGACGUGUCGCUCAUUGCAGGUACCGCACGAAUAAGGACCGGCUAAUUCCGUGCCAGCAGCCGCGGUAAUACGGAAGGUCCGGGCGUUAUCCGGAUUUAUUGGGUUUAAAGGGAGCGUAGGCCGUGCUUUAAGCGUGUUGUGAAAUGUAGACGCUCAACGUCUGAAUUGCAGCGCGAACUGGGGCACUUGAGUGCGCACGAGGCAGGCGGAAUUCGUGGUGUAGCGGUGAAAUGCUUAGAUAUCACGAAGAACUCCGAUUG